GGGGUUGUGGCUCAGAGGUAGAUCACUUGCCUGCCAAGCGUGAGGUCCUGGGUUCAAUCCUCAGCACCA
rnacentral:tRNA from 1 species